CACGUAGGCGGAUACUUAAGUCAGGGGUGAAAUCCCGGGGCUCAACCCCGGAACUGCCUUUGAUACUGGGUAUCUGGAGUCCGGAAGAGGUGAGUGGAAUUCCGAGUGUAGAGGUGAAAUUCGUAGAUAUUCGGAGGAACACCAGUGGCGAAGGCGGCUCACUGGUCCGGUACUGACGCUGAGGUGCGAAAGCGUGGGGAGCAAACA
rnacentral:rRNA from 1 species